GACGAACGCUGGCGGCGUGCUUAACACAUGCAAGUCGAACGAUCAAAGCUCUCUUCGGAGAGUGCAUAGAGUGGCGCACGGGUGAGUAACACGUAAGUAAUCUACCUUCGAGUGGGGAAUAACAGUCGGAAACGACUGCUAAUACCGCAUAAUGCAGCGGCAUCGCAAGAUGACAGUUGUUAAAGGAGCAAUUCGCUUGAAGAGGAGCUUGCGGCAGAUUAGCUUGUUGGUAAGGUAACGGCUUACCAAGGCUACGAUCUGUAACCGGUCUAAGAGGACGGUCGGCCACACUGACACUGAAUAACGGGUCAGACUCCUACGGGAGGCAGCAGUCGGGAAUUUUGGGCAAUGGGCGAAAGCCUGACCCAGCAACGCCGCGUGAAGGAUGAAGUAUUCGGUAUGUAAACUUCGAAAGAAUGGGAAGAAUCAAUGACGGUACCAUUUAUAAGGUCCGGCUAACUACGUGCCAGCCGCCG
rnacentral:rRNA from 1 species